rnacentral:tRNA from 1 species
CAGAAGGUAGUUUAUUUAAAAUACUAGUUUUGGGUAUUAGAGAAAAAUGGUUAUUUUCUUCUGA